UGCCUAAAUAGCUCAGUUGGUAGAGCAACGCAUUCGUAACGCGUAGGUCGUCGGUUCGAUCCCGGCUUUGGGCAA
rnacentral:tRNA from 4 species